rnacentral:rRNA from 1 species
UACGGAGGAUCCAAGCGUUAUCCGGAUUUAUUGGGUUUAAAGGGUGCGUAGGUGGCUUUUUAAGUCAGGGGUGAAAGACGGUAGCUUAACUAUCGCAGUGCCUUUGAUACUGAAGAGCUUGAAUGAACUAGAGGUAGGCGGAAUGUGACAAGUAGCGGUGAAAUGCAUAGAUAUGUCACAGAACACCAAUUGCGAAGGCAGCUUACUAUGGUUUUAUUGACACUGAGGCACGAAAAGCGUGGGGGAUCAAACAGG